rnacentral:rRNA from 1 species
UACGGGGGCAGCAGUGGGGAAUAUUGCACAAUGGGCGAAAGCCUGAUGCAGCUAUGCCGCGUGUAUGAAGAAGGCCUUAGGGUUGUAAAGUACUUUCAUCGGGGAGGAAAAAACAAAACUAAUAAUUUUAUUUCUUGACGUUACCCGAAAAAGAAGCACCGGCUAACUCCGUGCCAGCAGCCGCGGUAAUACGGAGGGUGCUAGCGUUAAUCAGAAUUACUGGGCGUAAAGAGCACGUAGGUGGUUUUUUUAAGUCAGAUGUGAAAUCCCUGGGCUUAACCUGGAACUGCAUUUUGAAACUGAAAUACUAGAGUAUCGUAGAGGGAGGUAGAAUUCUAGGUGUAGCGGUGAAAUGCGUAGAUAUCUGGAGGAAUACCUGUGGCGAAAGCGGCCUCCUAAACGAAUACUGACACUGAGGUGCGAAAAGCGUGGGGAGCGAAAACAGGGAUUAGGAU